AAUCAACGCUGGCGGCGUGCCUCAGACAUGCAAGUCGAACGCGAAAUUUCCCUUCGGGGAGAAAGUAGAGUGGCGCACGGGUGAGUAACACGUAGGUAAUUUGCCUUUGGGUGGGGAAUAACUCAGGGAAACUUGAGCUAAUACCGCAUAAUGCAGCGGCUCGACAUCGAGACAGUUGUUAAAGCGGGGGAGUUGGAGCAAUCCGACCUCGCGCCUAAAGAGAAGCCUGCGGCAGAUUAGCUAGUUGGUAAGGUAAUGGCUUACCAAGGNGACGAUCUGUAACCGGCCUGAGGAGGGCGGUCGGUCACACUGACACUGACAUACGGGUC
rnacentral:rRNA from 1 species